UGGGAAUUUGGACAAUGGGCGAAAGCCUGAUCCAGCAAUGCCGCGUGUGUGAAGAAGGCCUUCGGGUUGUAAAGCACUUUUGUCCGGAAAGAAAUCCUUGGCUCUAAUACAGUCGGGGGAUGACGGUACCGGAAGAAUAAGCACCGGCUAACUACGUGCCAGCAGCCGCGGUAAUACGUAGGGUGCAAGCGUUAAUCGGAAUUACUGGGCGUAAAGCGUGCGCAGGCGGUUUGCUAAGACCGAUGUGAAAUCCCCGGGCUCAACCUGGGAACUGCAUUGGUGACUGGCAGGCUAGAGUAUGGCAGAGGGGGGUAGAAUUCCACGUGUAGCAGUGAAAUGCGUAGAGAUGUGGAGGAAUACCGAUGGCGAAGGCAGCCCCCCUGGGCCAAUACUGACGCUCAUGCACGAAAGCGUGGGGGAGCAAAACAGGAUUAGAUACCCUGGUAGUCCACGCCCUAAACGAUGUCAACUAGUUGUUGGGGGAUUCAUUUCCUUAGUAACGUAGCUAACGCGUGAAGUUGACCGCCUGGGGAGUACGGUCGCAAGAUUAAAACUCAAAUGAAUUG
rnacentral:rRNA from 1 species